rnacentral:rRNA from 1 species
UACAGAGGGGGCGAGCGUUGUUCGGAAUUACUGGGCGUAAAGGGCGCGUAGGCGGCCAACUAAGUCAGACGUGAAAUCCCUCGGCUCAACCGGGGAACUGCGUUCGAUACUGCGGGUCUCGAGUCCGGGAGAGGUGAGUGGAAUUCCUAGUGUAGAGGUGAAAUUCGUAGAUAUUCGGAAGAACACCAGUGGCGAAGGCGACUUACUGGACACAUAUUGACGCUGAGGUGCGAAAGCGUGGGGAGCAAACAGG